AUUUGUUCAUCUCCGAGGUGACAUCUUGAGGUCACAGACAGGACUGCACGCACCGACCUUAUGGCGGUAUAAUUGACACCAGGUUCGCCGUUUAUUCUCUUCUUCUGCCCACGCUCUUUUGUUAACAGGCUGGCAUGGGCUCACCGCGCCUGGAAGAUGACAUACGAUUUUUUUUUUUUGAGCCAUCUUAAAGCGCGUCGCCGGAGGGUUCCGCAACGAGAUGUGGCGUCUGAUGGAAAACAGAGGAUGUUUGCUCCGCCGGGACCGAAGGCGGCAUCUACAGCUGAGAUUGGCUUUGAAGAAGUGGAUCAUAUCUCUGCUUGCUGACAGUGAAUGGGAGCAGUGGCUGAAAACCUAUAUAAUCCUAGACCUUUUGGUACAAUUGUUAUCCCAGCUGAACGAUGCUCUUUAUGUUGCAGAUUCCAUCAUAUUUGACCGGAAGAAGAGCGAAGCAUGCAGCGCCAUUCUUCUCAUAAAAAAGGACACCAGGGCAGAACCCAACAGGCCCUGGCGGACAUUCCGAAGACAGCGAGCGGAACAUAUAUGUUACUCAGUACCUAAUCGUGGUCAUGUAUAUAAACUUAUUAUGUGUCUAGCACAUAUAUUUCUCUCACAAAUACCUGCUAUCUGUUGCUUACUUGUUUGUCAUGCCCUGCUUUGUCCUCAAUCUGAAUGACUCUUCUUCCUCCCUGAGUCUGCUGUGCUGUGUCUCUUCAUCCAAUCACUGCAGGCUGCUCUGUCACUCUCUCCUCUCUGUUUUCAUGCUGCAGUCUGAUAGGACAGGAGUGAGCACAGAGGAGAUCAAGUCCCGCCCUCACUUCCUGGGCUUUGUCCCUGCUUGUGCUUCAGCUGGGACAAAGAUGAUGCUGCAGCCGGGCAGGAUUAUGUUCUGGCUGGUAUGGGGACCCCUAGUGGUCUUCUUUUAAUUUUUUUUUUUUUUUUUA